rnacentral:rRNA from 1 species
AUCUUCGGACCUCACGCUAAUAGAUGAGCCUAGGCCGGAUUAGCUAGUUGGUAGGGUAAAGGCCUACCAAGGCGACGAUCCGUAGCUGGUCUGAGAGGAUGAUCAGCCACACUGGAACUGAGACACGGUCCAGACUCCUACGGGAGGCAGCAGUGGGGAAUAUUGGACAAUGGGCGCAAGCCUGAUCCAGCCAUGCCGCGUGUGUGAAGAAGGCCUUCGGGUUGUAAAGCACUUUAAGCGAGGAGGAAGGUCUUUAAGCUAAUAUCUUAAAGAAUUGACGUUACUCGCAGAAUAAGCACCGGCUAACUCUGUG